ACCUAUUUUUUCCUCUCCUAUCAUUUCAGGAUCAGAAGUAGCCAACUUACUCCCACAGUGAACCAAAGGCACCAUGUACUACCCUCUGUUUCCCUGUCUUUGCAACUAGCCAUGAACAGGUCACAAAAAGGUGUACAGCUGCAACAGAGAAAUUGUUCUGCCCUCAAGGAAGUGGCUCUGAAGCAGUGUGAGAUCUGGAGUGGAGCAUGACAACUCAGCAGUCUCAAGAUGAAGUGUCAAGUCAGCAGACAAAGCUGGCUGCAAAAGCAAAGCAGACUCUCACAGGAAAAGGACUGCCUGCAGCCCUCUGGCAGCAUGCUGGGACUCACAGGCAGGACACAAUCAAAGCUCUGCUUCUGCAAAUGGUUACAUGUGAAGGACUAUCCCUUUCACCGUCAACCUCAGAGAAGACCCAAACUACAAGGCUCUGGAAGAUCCAAUGAACGUUUGUGGAGUCACCUCUAAAUGGGAUGCCUUUGUCCCUCAUGUCUUACCUUGAUCACAAUAUAAGUGACAAUGCCUGA